GCCACCGCCACUCCACUGCCCCCCUCCGCCGUCGCCGCCGCGGCGGCCGCUCGGGCCCUCGCCGCCCGACUAGCACUAGCAGCCACCCACCUCUCUCGCUUCGGGGCCUAGCCUAGAACCCUGGGCGACCGGCGGUGUCCCCCAUCCUCCCUGCUCGCUGCGGCGGCCGCUCGAGGGCCCGUCGCCAUGGCGGCGUUAGCGGCGCAGAUCCUGCGGCGGGGCCCCGUUCGCUCCUCCGCGCCUCUGGCCUCCACGAGUGGUUCGUGGGAUCGAAUGCUUGGCUCGGCUCCGUCGUCUCCUGCCGCCAUGUUGGUGUGUCCGUGCGGUGGGUCUGGACCGGAGGCGCGCGGCUGGAGCUGGUGGCGGUGCUUUCGCCAGCCCGUGAGGUGCGGGAGCACGGCGGUUAGGCUGGACACGGACGGUGGGUUCGCCAGGUUCGCGGUCGGCCACUCGGAAGGGGCGAAGCAGAAGGCGGGGCGGAUGCAGCAGCCGCCGAAGAAGAAGAAAAUGUCCAGGAAGGCCAAGGUCAAUCAGCUCAAGUGGUACCGUCUCAAGGCCAAGAAGAAGAUGAAGUCCCCCAAUCCCGAAGUUAGGAUCAGGUACAAGCUUGAAAAGGCUAAGAGAAAGGAGGAAUGGCUGAUUGAGAAGCUGAGGAAGUAUGAGGUCCCAAGGACACCGGAACCAGUUCAUGACCCUGAGAUUUUGACUGAGGAGGAGAAGUUUUACCUCAAGCGAACUGGAGAGAAGAAGAAGAACUAUGUUCCCGUUGGGAGGAGAGGGGUUUUUGGUGGUGUGGUUCUCAACAUGCACCUCCAUUGGAAGAAGCAUGAGACCGUGAAGGUGGUUUGCAAGCCCUGUCAGCCUGGCCAAGUGUAUGAGUAUGCCGAAGAACUAACAAGGCUCAGCAAAGGCACAGUCAUUGAUAUAAAACCUGAUAAUACCAUUAUAUUUUAUCGAGGGAAGAACUAUGUGCAGCCAAAGGUCAUGUCACCUCCUGAUACUCUUUCGAAGCAGAAGGCAUUGGAGAAAUAUAGGUAUGAACAAUCUCUUGAACAUACCAGCCAAUUUAUUGAGAAGCUGGAGAAGGAGCUUGAAGACUACCAGAAGCAUGUUGCUCUGUUUAAGAACCGUGAGGGAGCUACCUCUGUAGAUGAAGAGACCAAUGUUGAUGACUCAUAUUCUGAAUGAUCCAACUCUUUAAUAUGCUGGAUCCAUUUGAGAACCAUUAGGGAGCUAUACUGGAAAAAGCAGUGAAGGAGACAUACUUUUGUACAGUCUAUCUGUGUCUUCAUUGCUAGGAAGUUUUAAAAUAGGAGGACUUAUUCUUUUGGGGUUGACCUUGUAUGUAGUUUUUUCACAUCUCAAGCAUCCAUGGUACAUACCAAUGAAAUGGUAAUUUGGGAGCUUGAAGAGUGCUGGAGUUCCUUUUCAGAAAUCAUGACAUUUAUUGUGAUUGAAAAGGAUUGCAGUCUGCCAUGUUUUCAAAUCAUCUAGUCGAACCUAGUCGCCAUGGGACCGAUCAAACGACUAGUCGCGAUUAGUCGUCGAUCAGGCCGAUUAGUCGAGCUUAGUCGGUCCUAGUCGUCUGCCUAGUCGUCCUAUGUGUCCCAGGACCGAUAUGAUAUAUGUACUACAUAUUACUUAAUAAAAAGCAAGUAUGAAGGCAACAAUAAUAGUCGAUUUUUCACUUAUUUGUGAGA